rnacentral:rRNA from 1 species
UACGGAGGAUCCGAGCGUUAUCCGGAUUUAUUGGGUUUAAAGGGUGCGUAGGUGGCUUUUUAAGUCAGGGGUGAAAGACGGUAGCUUAACUAUCGCAGUGCCUUUGAUACUGAAGAGCUUGAAUGAACUAGAGGUAGGCGGAAUGUGACAAGUAGCGGUGAAAUGCAUAGAUAUGUCACAGAACACCAAUUGCGAAGGCAGCUUACUAUGGUUUUAUUGACACUGAGGCACGAAAGCGUGGGGAUCAAAC